AAGAAAAGGAGCUGAGCUGGCUGGAGGCUGCAAUUCUGAAUGUGAGCUUAACUGGGAGGAACCAUGAAGACAUCCAUGGGAGCUUUAAUCACGUUCUCGUGGCUGCAACUGAACUGGUUCAGCCAGGGAGAGAAUGUGGAGCAGCAUCCUUCUACCCUGAGUGUCCAGGAGGGAAGCAGCUCUGUUAUCAGCUCCAGUUAUUCAGACAGGGCCUCAGAAUUCUUCCCUUGGUAUAAGCCAGAACUUGGAAAAGGUCCCCUGCUCCUUACAUACAUUCUUUCAACUGUGGCCACAAAAGAAGACCAAAGACUCACUGUUUUAUUGAAUAGGAGGGCCAAACGUUUCUCCCUGCACAUCAGAGACACCCAGCCUGAAGACUCAGCUGUGUACUUCUGCGCAGCAAAUUGUUCUGAAGGCCAGAAGUUGAAAUUAUUUUCACAGGGCUGA